rnacentral:misc_RNA from 1 species
CCACUAUAGAAUAUUCUGCAUUGUGUUAGGAGGAAAAAAGCCAAUCCUUGGAUUACAACUACAUAGGCAUUUUUCAACAAUCAUCUCAAAUAAUCGAAAUGGUUGUAAAAUUGUGUGUCUUACUUCUGGUCGUUAUCUUCGUGGCACUGACGUCAUCGGCCUCGAUAUGCGACUGCAAUGAGGAGGGUAAAUAUGUGUGCAGUACGGACGGCUUAACAUACAAAUCCUG